GGGAACACAAGUCUCACAGCUUAACGCUGAUAGAAGAAGCAAUUGAAUUCUACAAGGAACAGGUGAAAUCUUCUUUCGAAUCUCUCACAGAAAUGGAAUCAGAGAUCCAGAAAAUGGAGCAGGAACAGAAAAAGAGCAUUUCUGGAGUUCAGGAAGAGUCACACAACCUUCAGUCACUGAUCACAUCCCAGUUUGCUGAACUGCACCAGAUUCUCACUGAGAAAGAGCAGCG